UACGUAGGGGGCAAGCGUUAUCCGGAUUUACUGGGUGUAAAGGGAGCGUAGACGGAUAAGCAAGUCUGGUGUAAAAGGCAGUGGCUCAACCAUUGUAUGCAUUGGAAACUGGUAGACUUGAGUGCAGGAGAGGAGAGUGGAAUUCCAUGUGUAGCGGUGAAAUGCGUAGAUAUAUGGAGGAACACCGGUGGCGAAAGCGGCUCUCUGGCCUGUAACUGACACUGAGGCUCGAAAGCGUGGGGAGCAAACAGG
rnacentral:rRNA from 1 species